UCAGAUUCUAACAGAACUGAAACUUCUACAAUCGGGAGCGUCCAUGGCAGAUCGUUUCUUCACCAUAACUCCAAAGUUCUGCUGUAUAACGCUUUCGCCAAAAUCCUCUCGGUUCAGCUCCCUCUCGCAACAGCCAUACCUAAAUUUUUCCCCAAAUUUCACCGAUGGGCGGAGCCAAAUUUGGUUAACUAGGGUUGAGAUCAGUAAUGCGGGUGGUAUUUGCAGUCGUAUGGCCGGCGGCGGUGUGGGGAGCGAUAAGCUGUAGUCCGAUGAACGGAAGCGUGCCGAUUAAUACGACUUUCAACUCCUGGAACUCCAUUGGUGUUCCAAACGAGGCAUCGGAGAAGAGAGGGGUGAAAUUUGGCAGAAUUUGAUCCUAUAAAAUGGUUGGAUAAAUCAUGAUACAUAUAUGCUCACAGUUUGGAGAAUAUCAGAAGGACCUCCCUUCUUUCAGUUUCUAUAUUUCCUCAGGCAUUCACAACUUGUCCAGGGUAGCUGAUAGAAUUCUUCUUUUGGAUUCAUAUUUCACUGAUGGUGUCUUUCAUGGUGCAAAUUAUCAGGUGUAAGAAACAGCAGCCAGCAAUUAAGCAGGAGGGAGGGGUAUGCAUUCUGUACGUCCAAAUCAGCAGGCAAUGAAAUGCAAUAUCUGGUAAAGUAACUACUCUCGUCUCGUGUCUCAUUUUAUUCAUCAGAGCUUUGUUCUGAAAAGUGCAUAGAAUGUCUUGCCAUGGUUGAGAGUUAGAUAGAUUUUUAUUUUUAUUUUUAUUUUUUAAUUAAUAUUUAAUUUAUAAUGUAAUAUACGUCCUUCUUAUCAUGAAUUUUUAAAUAUGAUCAAAAUAUAUAAUCAUAUUUUUUUUAAAAAAAAAAGACAAAAAACGAACCUAAAUAAAAAAAGGGAUAAUUAUAUGGAGGGAGUUAGUAUAAUAUAUAAAGAGGUUUAAAAGAAAUUUAAUAAUAUGACUAAUAGUUUUCUUAAAAUAAAUAUGGACAUUUUUUAGAAACAAAGUUUUAUAUGAUAUAUUAUUAUUUUUUAUUAAACGUGGAAUUGUGAAUGUAUGUGAAGAGAACGUGUAAAUAUAAUACUCCUUCCGUAAACGUAUAGUCUUAUUGUGUUGGACACCAUAGGAAUAUUGAUACUCCCUCCGUCCACAAAAAUACAAUUAUUUUUGGCGUGGUGUUUAAGAAAUGAUAGUAUUUUAAUUAUAGUGGGUAGUUAAAAGUAAUGUAAUGACAUUUUUGCCCUUGCUUUUUGGUGUAAAAGUAAUGAUGUGAUGUAAAGUAAGAAUAUUUGUGGAAAAAAGUAAGGUAUUUAAUGAAAUGUUUACUUUGUAAUUGGACGUCCCAAAAUAGAAACAUCUAUACUUUCUAGCUGGACGGGGGAGUAUUAUAUUGGUAGUCCUUAAGAAAUAAAGAUAAAUGAUUUUUUUUUGUCUUGUGUAAAAAGUAGUGGUAAUUGUGUAAAAAUAAUGAAAAAAUAAGAAUUGUUUUACAGUAAUAUGAUUAUUUAUAGAAAUAAACCUAUUUGGUACAAAUAAAAAUGGUAAACAUUUUGGGACGGAGGGAGUAGUUUUUUAGAAAUUUUAUACUAACAUGGUUAA